rnacentral:rRNA from 1 species
CUACGGGGGGCUCCAGUGGGGAAUAUUGCACAAUGGAGGAAACUCUGAUGCAGCAACGCCGCGUGGAGGAUGACACUUUUCGGAGCGUAAACUCCUUUUAUAUAGGAAGAAGAUGACGGUACUAUAUGAAUAAGCGCCGGCUAACUCCGUGCCAGCAGCCGCGGUAAUACGGAGGGCGCAAGCGUUACUCGGAAUCACUGGGCGUAAAGAGCGUGUAGGCGGAUUAAAAAGUCAGAAGUGAAAUCCUAUAGCUUAACUAUAGAACUGCUUCUGAAACUCUUAAUCUAGAAUAUGGGAGAGGUAGAUGGAAUUUCUGGUGUAGGGGUAAAAUCCGUAGAGAUCAGAAGGAAUACCGAUUGCGAAGGCGAUCUACUAGAACAUUAUUGACGCUGAGACGCGAAAGCGUGGGGAGCAAACAGGAUUAGAUACCCGUUAGUC